rnacentral:rRNA from 1 species
AGUGAACGCUGGCGGUAGGCCUAACACAUGCGAGUCGAACGGCAGCACAGUAAGAGCUUGCUCUUACGGGUGGCGAGUGGCGGACGGGUGAGGAAUACAUCGGAAUCUACUUUUUCGUGGGGGAUAACGUAGGGAAACUUACGCUAAUACCGCAUACGACCUACGGGUGAAAGCAGGGGAUCUUCGGACCUUGCGCGAUUGAAUGAGCCGAUGUCGGAUUAGCUAGUUGGCGGGGUAAAGGCCCACCAAGGCGACGAUCCGUAGCUGGUCUGAGAGGAUGAUCGGCCACACUGGAGCGUAGACACGGUCCAGACGCCUGCGGGAGGCAGCAGUGGGGAAUAUUGGACAAUGGUCGCAAGCCUGAUCCAGCCAUACCGCGUGGGUGAAGAAGGCCUUCGGGUUGGAAAGCCCUUUUGUUGGGAAAGAAAAGCAGCAGGUUAAUACCCCGCUGUUCUGACGGUACCCAAAGAAUAAGCACCGGCUAACUUCGUG